rfam:Trichobilharzia regenti genome assembly, scaffold: TRE_scaffold0003095
AUGCAGAUGAAGAGUCCCGAAUAAGACGAAAUGCGCAUCCUGGAU